UACGGAGGGAGCUAGCGUUGUUCGGAAUUACUGGGCGUAAAGCGCACGUAGGCGGCUUUUCAAGUCAGAUGUGAAAGCCCUGGGCUCAACCUGGGAACUGCAUUUGAAACUGUCAGGCUAGAGUGGGGAAGAGAGUAGCGGAAUUUCCGGUGUAGCGGUGAAAUGCGUAGAUAUCGGAAGGAACACCAGUUGCGAAGGCGGCUACUUGGUCCUUUACUGACGCUGAGGCACGAAAGCGUGGGGAGCAAACAGG
rnacentral:rRNA from 1 species